rnacentral:rRNA from 1 species
GCGGACCUCGGGGACGGGCCGGCCGGCCUGAUCGCUGAGCUUACCCUCGCCAGCGACGUGGCCGACUAUGUCCGCUUCCGCGCCGUGUGCCGGCCGUGGCGGCGGUGCUCGCCAGACCCGCGCGCCGGCGGCCUGGACGGCCGCUUCCUCCCCCGCCAGUGGAUCAUGAUCGACAAGGCAUAUGCCGGGCCACGCCGCCAUCGUUUCCUCAACGUGUCUACUGGAGAGUGCAUCCGGACGGACCUCCCGGAGCUCGCCGGGCACACGCUGCUCGCGCUCACCCCGGAAGGCCUCCUGCUGCUGCUCCACGAGUCCACCCUGGUCGUCCGCCUGCUGAACCCUCUCACGCACCAGCUCACCGAUCUCCCGCCGGUGACCGCGCUCCUGAGCCCCGAGCAGAGUCCAUCUAGGCGCCGCGGCUUGCAGAUCAAAGUUAUGGUGUCUGGCGUGGGCCUGGUUGUAGAUUCCUCGGUGGCAGUCAGUUUCUUUGAUCCCAUGGUGCUUGCCGUCGCUAAACCCGGCGACGAUAGUUGGACAGUGGCCCACAAUGAGGAAGUGAGUACGACUCUACCUUUUGCCGGCCGCUUCUACUGUGCCACCUACAGGGGUGUCAUGGUGCUGGACGUGGGCUCAGAUCGGCAGCCGCUACGGCUCCAGGUGGUCGCUGACCGGAGCAAGUCGUUUUACUUGAACCCCAUGGCACACAGCCUCCACCUGGCGGACAAUGGUGGGGAGUUGAUGCUGGUGCACCGGACCCGAUGCCACGACAGCAAGUAUGGCAGGAGGUAUGAUGUUUAUAGACUGGAUUUGGAAGCUGGGGUCCUGGUCCCGGUCAAGGGCUUCAACGGGCGUGCCAUGUUCAUGGGCAUGGGUCGCACGAUUUCCGUAUCAGCUCAGAACCCCUUUCCUUGUGUUGCUUCUGAUACCAUCUACAUGGGGCCGGAUUGUGAUGGCAAGAUUCAGGGAUACAAUAUUGCGGAUGGAAGAAGAUGCGAUCUGAUUGGAGCGAGCGUUGUGGAUUGUCUCCGCUACUGCAUCCAGGGAUUCGGCAAGCUACUUGCCUGA